GACGAACGCUGGCGGCGUGCUUAACACAUGCAAGUCGAACGGAAAGGCCCUGCGCUUGUGGGGUGCUCGAGUGGCGAACGGGUGAGUAACACGUGAGUAACCUGCCCUUGACUUUGGGAUAACUUCAGGAAACUGGGGCUAAUACCGCACAGGAUCUCCUGCAGCAUGGGGGGGGUUGGAAAGUUUCGGCGGUUGGGGAUGGACUCGAGGCUUAUCAGCUUGUUGGUGGGGUAGGGGCUUACCAAGGCUUUGACGGAUAGACGGCCUGAGAGGGUGACCGGCCACCUUGGGCCUGAGAUACGGCCCAGGCUGCUACGGGAGGCAGAAGAGGGAAAUAUUGCACAAUGGGGGGACGCCUGAUGCAGCAACGCCGAGUGCGGGAUGAAGGCUUUCGAGUUGUAAACCGCUUUCGACUGUGCCGAAGAGUGCGUGACGGUAAUGGGUAAAGAAGCACCGGCUAACUACGUG
rnacentral:rRNA from 1 species